GUAGGUGGCAAGCGUUGUCCGGAAUUAUUGGGCGUAAAGCGCGCGCAGGCGGUCCUUUAAGUCUGAUGUGAAAGCCCACGGCUCAACCGCGGAGGGUCAUUGGAAACUGGGGGACUUGAGUACAGAAGAGGAAAGCGGAAUUCCAAGUGUAGCGGUGAAAUGCGUAGAGAUUUGGAGGAACACCAGUGGCGAAGGCGGCUUUCUGGUCUGUAACUGACGCUGAGGCGCGAAAGCGUGGGGAGCAAACAGGAUUAGAUACCCUGGUAGUCCACGCCGUAAACGAUGAGUGCUAAGUGUUAGGGGGUUUCCCGCCCCCCUUAGUGCUGCAGCUAACGCAUUAAGCACUCCGCCUGGGGAGUACGGCCGCAAGGCUG
rnacentral:rRNA from 1 species